AUUGAACGCUGGCGGAAUGCUUUACACAUGCAAGUCGGGCGGCAGCGCGGGGGCAACCCUGGCGGCGAGCGGCGAACGGGUGAGUAAUACAUCGGAACGUGUCCUUGAGUGGGGGAUAGCUCGGCGAAAGCCGGAUUAAUACCGCAUAAGCUCUGAGGAGGAAAGCGGGGGACUGGUAACGGCCUCGCGCUGCUGGAGCGGCCGAUGUCGGAUUAGCUAGUUGGUGGGGAAAGGCCCACCAAGGCGACGAUCCGUAGCUGGUCUGAGAGGAUGAUCAGCCACACUGGAACUGAGACACGGUCCAGACUCCUACGGGAGGCAGCAGUGGGGAAUUUGGACAAUGGGGGCAACCCUGAUCCAGCCAUUCCGCGUGAGUGAAGAAGGCCU
rnacentral:rRNA from 1 species